rnacentral:tRNA from 1 species
GCGGCAUAGCUCAGUUGGCCAGAGCGUCCGGUUCAUACCCGGCAGGUCGCAGGUUCGAAUCCCGCUGCCGC